CCCGCGCAGAGCCCCGCAGGCCCCGGCGGCCGCGCGGCCGAGCCGUGCACGCGGAGCCCGGGCCUGGGCACCCCGCCGGGAGGAACGCCGGCCCUGCCGGUUUCCAUGGCAAUGGUGCGGGAACGGUGCCGGCUGCCUGCCGAUGAGGCUCCGGGCCGGGGGAGCGCCGCCACCGUCCCGCUGCCCCCCGCCUCGCCCGGCUCACGGGGUGCUGGCGGCGGGGUCCCGCCGGGCUCUCGCCCCCCCAGGCGCGGCUCCGGGGUUGGGGGUUCCUCUGUGGGGAGCCCCGCGCGUUUCCCCAUCCCCUUCGGCCCUGGGAUCGCCCGGUGUCCCGCUACUGCUGCCCCGCAGGGCCAAGCACAGUCACGACCCGCUGCCGAAAACACGAACUUGGGCCCUGCCAGCACACGUAGGGGCUGCGGGAACUGCUGCUAUCACCAGACCUACUGUACAGUUCUAGGCUUCUCCCGCUCACCAGUGCCAGACCUGCGUGGCUCCAUGGUGCUCCCAGGACCUGCUGCCCUGGAGUAUCAGGGACCAGGGCCAAGCCAGGCACCCAUUUUCUCCUCCCACAGUCCUACAGAAGACCCCAGUCAGGCCCCUGAGGACAGCCCCAGUGAGACCAGGACACAUGGUGACACCAAUGGGUGCCCACUCUCCCAGCUGAGAACCUUGGCUUCUGCUUCCCACCUCCCUCGACCCAUUCCAGGGCCACCAGGGCUGAGGGUUUGCUCUGGCAUGUCUUGGUGCAGAUCUGGGGAGGAGACAUGAACAUCUGUGAUGCCCAUGCUUGCGAGGAUUUCCUGGGCACUGUUGCAUGGGAAAUGUGCAUUUGUAGGACACAGCAUUGUGCUGGGGGUGCGUGCAUCCCUGGGCAGGUGUGAGCACAUGGGCUGAGCACAGCAUGGCAGGGACCACCAGGCUCAGGAAACAGCUAAAAGCAGCCCAGCAGGGAAGGGGAUGAGCUCAGCUGGGCGCAGGGCAUGGUGCAGCCCCCCACAAAUGUGGUGGCUCAUGUUCUGCAGCAUGGAAACCCCACAGCAUGUGGGACUGGGGCAUUUGUGUGGGUCUGAAGACAGUGGGGGAAGCCUUCCACUGCCCUCAUGGCCCCGUUGGGCUGGGAGCUGCACAGCCUCCGCACGGCCAUGGCAUUGACCCGGGCGAGGAGAAAUGCGCCGAGGUCCUUCAGAGACUGGUAGUUCCACCCAGUAGGGAAUGGACACGUUUACUUGCAGGAACCAGCUGACAUGCACUCAGCCCACAGGGAGGGCACUAAAAAAGGAGAUGUGUUUAAAAAAAAAAAAGUUGCAGUUUCUGUUUUGCUGCUCUCAGCAAGAAAUAUGUUUCCAACGUCUCUGCAGGCAGUGAAUGCUGGGUGGUUAUAAUAUUUGUGAACAUAAUAUUCAUCAGUCAUAAGUAUCCAGGAUUUAUGUUGCCUAAUACUUACAUAUUCAUUAUUAGGAACGUGACCUUUCAAAACUUCUACAUAUUAAAACUGUAAACUUGGGUUUUGUUUUCCUUUUAGGCACGCAACAAAAUGAAAGCUGCUCGGGGCAGGCUGUGCUGCUUCCUUGUUUUUUUUUUUUUUUUUUUUUUUUUUUCUUUUUUUUCUUUAUUUUUUUUUUGUAUCUUUCCCAAGGCCAGGAGAUGGGGAAUCAAAGCCAAGCAUGGGGAUGCCCACAGGUGUUUGGGAACUGACAUUUGGGCACUGGGGACCUGGAAAGCCAGAACAUGGGGACAACAGCAUGGAUGGGCUGUGUGGGGGAGGACAGUGACCAUAGGAGUGUCUCAUUCCCUCUCUAUGUGAAGGUGGCAGGGCUGUGGCAGGAUGUGGCCACUUUGCCAUAAGCCUGGAUGGACACGGGGCACAAGUCCCACUGUGUGGUGCUGGUGCCCCUCGUACUGUUUCUAACACCCCUGAGCCCCCCCCAGGCCCUGUCCCCAUGCAAGCUUCCAGUGCCCCCCAGCUGCUGGCCAUGGCCUUGGGGAACUGCAGGUGUCUUUUUCCAGUUUUUGCGUUUCCCAGGAAUAGAAUAAAAAAGACAAAGUCCACA
rnacentral:lncRNA from 1 species